GUGAGGAAUUUUCCGCAAUGGGCGAAAGCCUGACGGAGCAAUGCCGCGUGAAGGAUGAAGGCCUAUGGGUUGUAAACUUCUUUUCUCAGAAAAGAAUUAUGACGGUAUCUGAGGAAUAAGCAUCGGCUAACUCUGUGCCAGCAGCCGCGGUAAGACAGAGGAUGCAAGCGUUAUCCGGAAUGAUUGGGCGUAAAGCGUCUGUAGGUUGUUUAAAAAGUAUUCUGUCAAAGAUUAGGGCUUAACCCUAGAUAGGCAGAAUAAACUUUUAAGCUAGAGUUUGGUAGAGGCAGAAGGAAUUCCCGGUGGAGCGGUGAAAUGCGUAGAUAUCGGGAGGAACACCAAAGGCGAAGGCACUCUGCUGGGCCAAUACUAACACUGAGAGACGAAAGCGAGGGGAGCAAAUGGGAUUAGAAACCCGAGUAGUCC
rnacentral:rRNA from 1 species